UGUGGACACCUCUGGCUGGCACCCAGCAGACCCUUUCUAUCUGAAGUAGUAUAGGAAGUUAUUUCAUAUUAAUUUGGUGCCCAUGGCUCUUUGUUUGAGCUUGGAUCUGUGGGUUUACAAUUUCCACAAGCGUAGGAAACCAGCGGCCAUUCCUUUUACUGUGGUUUUGGCACCCACUCCUUACUGGGUUCCAACCCUCGGGCACUCCGCCAUCUGGAAGCCAAUGGGUUCUCCUCACUGUGCCUCAACCUUCCUUCUGUCUUGGGAGCUCUACAGCUGCGCCCUCAAGACCACUGCAGUUUUCUUCUGCCGCGCCUCAUAAGAGAUCCUGUUCCGAUCAAGUUUUUCACCUUACAUGUUGCAUCGGGACAGUGCCUGAACACUGAGUGGUAUAUGAACCUCGCGCCCCACCGUGGCUCUGCAACUCCGACGUAAAGCAGGCAGGUGAAGAUACAUGACCAAUGAGCAUCAAGGUCACUCGCAGACUCAGGAAGGAUGGUGACCUCGAAACUGGAAGAAGUCUCAGCAAACACUCACAGCUUUACUGUUUCAGAGGAGACCAGGUUUGUUGAUAAGGAGGUGAGAUGGCUAAUCUUCAUCUUCAACUUGACUCCAUCUGAAAUCAACUAAAACCCAAGCAGCCGGGACACCCGAUGAUCCAUCCUUAGUCUGGAUCAGCCGAGGUUGGGAGACCUAUCCUAAAUUUGGGCCACACCUUUUAGAAGGCAUCCCAUCAUGUCCUGCACGUGCUCUUCUGCAGAAGGCCAUCACGGGCUUUCUUAUGGGCGUUAUCAGGGGGGUUUAGGACCAUUGGGGACCUUCUCUGGAAGACCAGCAUUGGAGUACCUCUCAAAGAGGUUAGAGAGUGGGAGGGACAUAGGAUAACCUCGAAAUAAACGUGUGG
rnacentral:lncRNA from 1 species